AAUUUCUACUAGGACUCUAACCAAGACUAAUGAUCUGAAAA
rnacentral:tRNA from 2 species